rnacentral:piRNA from 1 species
UGGAGUCAACUGGAUAACUGAUGAGC